UUUUAUUAAGGCCAACACAGAGGGAGAGAUGAGAAGAAGUAAACGUGUGAGACAGCCAUCUAAGAGAAUGUUGUUGUAUUUUCAGGACACAGAUUCAGAUUCAAGUCUACAGAAGGGUAAAGGAAAACGUCCUGCAAGAAAGUUGAUACAUUAGCAACAACAACUAAGGGGACACUGGAACACCAUAGCACGUCUGACAAUGAACCUGUACUGGCUUUUGUUCCUUCAAGUUCUGAUGAGUCUGAAGGAGAAACACUCAGUGAGAGAGAGGAUGAUUUAAGAACCAAAUGAAAGGGAAGGAAAAGAGGAAGUAAGAAAGUGAAAGGGCGCUGUUAUGUCCAUGAAGAACAAGAACAAAAAUCUAAGGUUUGUUUUUCGUGUUUGUUGAAAAUAUAGACAGAAGAAUUCUAGUUUAAAGCUCAUAACAGAUUAAUAAGCAUGCAUGUAGAUGGGAAUAAUAACAAUACAUAAUUAAACAAUCAUUUGAUCAUUAUGUCUCCCCCAUUCUUGCCCUCAAGUAAGGGCUACUUUGGAAAGGUAGCACUGUAUUAAGUAUAAUUUCAGUAUCACUGAAGUCAUUUCCAAUAAUGUUCUAU